UGGCAGAAAUCAUCAGUCAAGCGACCC
rnacentral:piRNA from 1 species